GAUCAAUGUCCAUGUUGCUGGAGUUAAUGACAUUGCGUUUGCUCAUUCCAACAAGCAACUGUUUAUAGUUACGUGUGGAGAUGAUAAGACUAUUAAGGUAUGGGAUGCUGUAGCUGGGUGCGGGCAGUAUAUGUUUGAAGGCCAUGAAGCUCCUGUGUAUUCGUUUGUUUUCUCUACUGCCAUUGAUGGAAAGUAAAAGCUUGGCUAUAUGAUUGCUUGAGAUCUAGAGUGGACUAUGACGCUCCUGGACACUGCUGCACCAUGAUGGCAUAUAGUGUAGAUAAAACCAGG